CUGUAACUUUAAUCCAAUGGUCUAACUAAAGAUAGCCCAUUCCAAAAGGGAGCCAUGUCCACCCACCAGCAUGCCACAGGGAAUCUGGAUGUACUUGAGGUUGGCACAUAAUUCUUACUUUUGUCUGUGAGACAUCAAAAAACAGGUUUAUAAAACUCAUAGCAUCAAGAUGUUUCCAAAAUCUAACUGGUGCUCCUUUGUUGUAUCCAGGGGAAUUGAACUUUUUUGUUUACUGGAAUUUUUAGACUUCAAAAGCCGUAACUUGAAAAGUACUCGUGGCCUCCAUGGUGAUUUUUAUCCCACACAGGCCUUUUGCUCAGUGGCACAAUUUUGUCUGUUGAAGAGCCUGGCCAGAGGACAGAUCACUUUUAUAGCAUGAGCAAGAGAACUAAAAGCAUAUGUAAAUCUUGCUGACCUAAAAGCAAAGACAAGAUGCCCAGAGACAAGAUGCACACCUAGCUCUGACUUACACAGGAUUGACAGGCAACUGAACAAAUCUUGAUUCUCUUACCAAAGCCUUUUCAUUUAAAAUGUUGACCAUUUCCUAUUUUCCCCAUCUUCCUUUGCUUGAGGUCGUGACUAUCAACUGAUAAAAUUAGUGAUAGUUUGGGUCCACACAUAAAUUGAAGAUAAUGUUAAAAUAUAAACAUUUAAACCAUUAUAUUUGUUUCGUAACAAGCCAAUUCUUUUUUUUUUUUUUUUUUGGCGGAACCAGGAUUGAACUCAGGAUCUUGUACUUGCCAGGUGGGUGCUGGGGCCACUGAGCUAAACCUCCGGCCCACAAGCCAAUUCUUAUAUGACCAAUGUUUAAGUCAUAAUAGCAACACAAAAAGCUAACUACUGCAUCAUGCUGACCAGAAUUACCUGUCAUGUCCAACAGUUCAUGACCUAGCAACUUUGACACUAAGAACAAAGGGGUUAGGGAAUUUUUUUUUUUAAGUUCAGCACCUUGUCAACUUCACUGAUUUGCCUCAAGCUGAUGAUCAUAUACUUUCCAACACUUGUAAAUCUUGAAUCUGUGAUAACAAAGGCACAGUUGUGCCAGUUUGGAGACAGGAAGCCAUCAAACCAAAUGUAGUUUAAUUCAGAUAAGCACCUAUCAAUAUUCAAAAGGCAAUACAAGUAAUUCCAGGGACAUUAAGCCUUGGUGAAAUGCCAAAUAGAAAAUGGUGUUUUAAAAGGUAAUCUAAAAUGUAAGGAAUAAGGAAAAAACAUUUUAAGAGUUCCUGAUAGCUUAGGUCAAGUAGACAAGAUUAAGAGGAAGAAAUUCAAGCUGGGCACAGUGGCACACGUGUAAUCCCAGCACUCAGGAGGCUGGAGGGUCACAAGUUCCAGGCUAGCCUGGACUACUUAGCAAAAACUUGCAAAGGAAAAACAAUUAACAAAUUUUUACAUAAGCACUUUGAAAAUACCCAUUCCCCUUAACUGUAAGUUACAUAUUUUAUCUAUUAAAGUCCAAGAAGUUGUACUUGGCAAGAAUCCUGGCAAUAUCUUGUGCCAAAUCACUGUAUAAACUUGGAAG
rnacentral:lncRNA from 1 species